rnacentral:rRNA from 1 species
GGGGAGAAUCAGAUGUAACUUUUUCUGUAGAUGUCCGUGGAUAUAUUAUUUGCCUGAUUCUGAGCACGUAUGAGAAAGUUAAACCUAUUCUAAGAAAUGACACUCGAA